rnacentral:rRNA from 1 species
UAGCAUGCAUGUGUAGCGAGCGUAAGUGGAGCGGCACACGGCUCAGUAACGGGCUACUAUUUGAUCUCCCUGAGCGGAUAUCCUCUGUAACCGGAGGGCAAAACGCAAGAGACGCAGCAGAAGAUGGUGUGUGUCUAACAUUAGUGGGGGAGAGUAAGGAGCCAGCCCAUCAGCUAGUAAGUAGGGUAAGGGCCUACUUAGGCAAAUACGGGUACGGGGAAUUAACGUUUGAUUCCGGAGAGGGAGCCUGAGAGACGGCUACCGGGUCCAAGGACAACAGCAGGCGCGAAAAUUACCGGAGCCUGCGAUCAGGGCGGUAGUAAGGAAACGUGAUAACGAUGUGCGGGUAAACAACGCAGUGGAUACAGGAGGAAAAGACUGGUGCCAGCACCCGCGGUAAUACCAGCUCCUGGAGUGUCUAUGAUGAUUGCUGCAGUUAAAGCGUUCGUAGUCGAAGCGGAAAGAAUGGCGUGACAGACAGCUGCUCAAAGGGUGGAUUGCGCUGUGAUCCCGUAGGAUGAGGAGUGUCUAGGGGCCAGGUUAUUAAACGGCAAGCGGUGAAAUGUUCUGACCCGUUUAGGAGCGACAGAGGCGAAAGCGCUGGCCAGGGGCAAKUCCGAUGAUAAAGGACGUAGGCUAGAGGAUCGAAGACGAUUAGAGACCGUUGUAGUUCUAGCAGUAAACGAUGCCGAUGUUGUGGUGCCAUGAGGCAACGCAAAAGAGAAAUCUAGUAGGGCCCUGGGGAGAGUACGCGCGCAAGCGAGAAAUUUAAAGGAAAUUGACGGAUGAACACCUCAAAGAGUGGAGUGUGCGGCUUAAUUUGACUCAACGCGGGACAGCUUACCGGGCCCGACGACCGUAUGAGCGUGACACGCGAUAGGUCGGAGAGUGGUGCAUGGCCGUUAACGACGAGUGGAGUGAUCUUUGGGUUAAGUCCGUAAAUUAGUGAGACCCCAGCGAAAGGACAGGUGCGCAACGCACAGGAAGGAUGGGUCAAGGACAGGUCAGUGAUGCCCUUAGAUGGCCCGGGCUGCACGCGCACUACAGUGGUCGCCGAAAUUUGAAGGAAGAGUUAAAGGCGAUCGAGAGGGAAUGAGCUUUGGAAGAGGCUCAGGAACGCGGAAUUGUUAGUAAUCGCGGGCUCAUUAAGACGCGAUGAAUACGACCCUGUUCAUUGUACACACCGCCCGUCGUUAUCGAAGACGAUGCUAGGCGCGAGCGAGGUUUGAUGGCUGAGCAAGCGCAGGGUAUUGAAUCUGAUGUAAGUCGUAACAAGGUAGCUGUAGGAGAACCUGUAGCUGGAUCAGACAAGUAGAAACAUUUGAGAUAAAGAAAUCUCUGCGCAAGGGAUCUUUUGGCUCGCGGGACGACGAAGGGCGCAGCGGAUGGCGUAAAGUGCAGGAGCAGCAGCGAUGACAGCACGUGCCUGAAACAGCGAGAGCAUGAACACCCCUUUGAAUUAAGCAUAUGAGUAAAGGGAGGAAAAGAAACUUACAAGGAUUCCUGCAGUAGCGGCGAGCGAAGAAGGAAGAGCCCCGAGUGCAAUCACGUGAGUGAGAUGUCGGCGGUCGCAGCAACGGCGUUGAAUCGCCGGCCACUGAGGGUGAUAGCCCCGUGCGAGACCGGAUGCGGGAGUAGCAGUGUUUGGUAUUGCACUGUGAACGGGUGGCAGCGCCCAUCCAAGGCUAAAUACGGCGCGAGACCGAUAGCGAAGAAGUAGUGCGAACGAAGAACGAAUAGGCUGAAAAGGAA